UACGUAGGGGGCAAGCGUUAUCCGGAUUUACUGGGUGUAAAGGGAGCGUAGACGGCGAAGAAAGUCUGAAGUGAAAGCCCGCGGCCCAACCGCGGAAUGGCUUUGGAAACUUUUUUGCUGGAGUACCGGAGAGGUAAGCGGAAUUCCUAGUGUAGCGGUGAAAUGCGUAGAUAUUAGGAGGAACACCAGUGGCGAAGGCGGCUUACUGGACGGUAACUGACGUUGAGGCUCGAAAGCGUGGGGAGCAAACAGG
rnacentral:rRNA from 1 species